UACGAAGGGGGCUAGCGUUGCUCGGAAUCACUGGGCGUAAAGGGUGCGUAGGCGGGUCUUUAAGUCAGGGGUGAAAUCCUGGAGCUCAACUCCAGAACUGCCUUUGAUACUGAGGAUCUUGAGUUCGGGAGAGGUGAGUGGAACUGCGAGUGUAGAGGUGAAAUUCGUAGAUAUUCGCAGGAACACCAGUGGCGAAGGCGGCUCACUGGCCCGAUACUGACGCUGAGGCACGAAAGCGUGGGCAGCAAACAGG
rnacentral:rRNA from 1 species